GACGAACGCUGGCGGCGUGCCUAAUACAUGCAAGUCGAACGCUGAAGGAGGAGCUUGCUUCUCUGGAUGAGUUGCGAACGGGUGAGUAACGCGUAGGUAACCUGCCUGGUAGCGGGGGAUAACUAUUGGAAACGAUAGCUAAUACCGCAUAAGAGUAGAUGUUGCAUGACAUUUGCUUAAAAGGUGCAGUUGCAUCACUGCCAGAUGGACCUGCGUUGUAUUAGCUAGUUGGUGGGGUAACGGCUUACCAAGGCGACGAUACAUAGCCGACCUGAGAGGGUGAUCGGCCACACUGGGACUGAGACACGGCCCAGAGUGCUACGGGAGGCAGCAGUAGGGAAUCUUCGGCAAUGGGCGGAAGUCUGACCGAGCAACGCCGCGUGAGUGUAGAAGGUUGUCGGGUCGUAAAGCUCGGUUGUAAGAGAGGAACGAGUGUGAGAGUGGAAAGUACACUCUGUGACGGUAUCUUGCCAGAAAGGAACGGCUAACUACGUG
rnacentral:rRNA from 1 species